GGCCGCGUGGCCUAAUGGAUAAGGCAUCAGACUUCGAAUCUAUGGGGAUUGCAGGUUCGAUCCCUGCCGUGGUCG
ensembl:tRNA